GCAGUCGAACGGUAGCACAGAGGAGCUUGCUCCUUGGGUGACGAGUGGCGGACGGGUGAGUAAUGUCUGGGAAACUGCCCGAUGGAGGGGGAUAACUACUGGAAACGGUAUCUAAUACCGCAUAACGUCGCAAGACCAAAGAGGGGGACCUUCGGGCCUCUUGCCAUCGGAUGUGCCCAGAUGGGAUUAUCUAGUAGGUGGGGUAACGGCUCACCUAGGCGACGAUCCCUAUCUGGUCUGAGAGGAUGACCAGCCACACUGGAACUGAGACACGGUCCASACUCCUACGGGAGGCAGCAGUGGGGAAUAUUGCACAAUGGGCGCAAGCCUGAUGCASCCAUGCCGCGUGUAUGAAGAAGGCCUUCGGGUUGUAAAGUACUUUCAGCGAGGAGGAAGGUGUUGUGGUUAAUAACCGCAGCAAUUGACGUUACUCGCAGAARAAGCACCGGCUAACUCCGUGCCAGCAGCCGCGGUAAUACGGAGGGUGCAAGCGUUAAUCGGAAUUACUGGGCGUAAAGCGCACGCAGGCGGUCUGUCAAGUCGGAUGUGAAAUCCCCGGGCUCAACCUGGGAACUGCAUCCGAAACUGGCAGGCUAGAGUCUUGUAGAGGGGGGUAGAAUUCCGUGUGUAGCGGUGAAAUGCGUAGAGAUCUGGAGGAAUACCGGUGGCGAGGGCGGCCCCCUGGACAAAGACUGACUCUCAUGUGCGAAAGCGUGGAGAGCA
rnacentral:rRNA from 1 species